GACAGAGGUUGCAAACGUUGUUCGGAAUUACUGGGCAUAAAGCGCACGUAGGCGGUUCGUUAAGUCAGGUGUGAAAUCCCCCGGCUCAACCGGGGAAUUGCGCCUGAUACUGGCGGGCUAGAGAUCGAUAGGGGUGAGUGGAACUCCAGGUGGAGCGGUGAAAUGCGUAGAUAUCUGGAGGAACACCGGUGGCGAAAGCGGCUCACUGGAUCGAUACUGACGCUGAGGUGCGAAAGCUAGGGUAGCAAACGGG
rnacentral:rRNA from 1 species